AAUGGCAUACAGUAAAGGAAAUCAACAGUCGAGGAAAUGUAUGUUACCAGUAUGGCUGUCACUCAGUAUAUUGUAUAUCAUAAAAAGGAUCUUAUAUAAUGGACGAAGGAAUUCAUUUGGUUUAGGAGUUGAUUAGUAGCUUCAGCAAAAGUCCUUUCAGUGGAUAUGAACUUCAUGCUAGCAAAAUAAUUCAGAUAUCCUUGAUUUGGUAAAGGGUAAAGAGUUGGUUGUAUCAUGAAGGAAUCGUACACGAAACCGAUGCUGAAGAUGAUGGAUUUUAUUCAGUGUUUUCUGUAUAGGAAUGUCUAAAUGACCGGUAGCCGGCUUUGGUUUUUUGGUUUUAUCACGCAGCAAUCGUACAUUAAACCAAGAUAAAUGAGAAUGGAUCUAGCCCGCGCCAAACUCAUCAUGGACGAAGCGACGAGCAAAAAGUUUAAGACGAAGUUGGAAACAUUUUAUCUUGAUCAUAGACAUUCAAUUUUCCUUCGAAAAUCAUAAAUGUCCAUUUGAGCAUUCAGGUUAUUUUCGCAAGCUAAGCUAUCUCCGGGCUCGUAAUCCUUCACACUCUUCGAGCUUCACUACAAAGAUGCCCUCUCCUGUCAAUGAAAUCCUGUUGAAAUAUAAUGUAAUAGGCUCACUUUGGUGUCCUUUUGAGUGUUGUGGUCUUUGUAAAACUAGCGACUCCGAACUUUUAAGAAACAGGCUUGAAACCUGGUAAAAAAAGGUGAGCAAAGCCGUUACUUUUACUAUUUUUACACUAAUAACGAUUGGUUAAUUAUCCACAUCAAAAGCUUUAUGUUUUUACAAUAACCGUUUUUUCAUUCAUAAAAGUCUUAACUAUUUUUCGAGAAGCUUGAAAACAUAAGCUUACUAGAUUUUGAAAAUUCAAUUUAUUUACCAUUUUUCAUCUCGUUAACAACAAAAGUUUUUGAAAAACUAAUAAGUUUACAUUCAUUUAUACUUGACAAGAACAACUGAGGCAAAAUAGAAAAUAACGCAGAAUGCAAUGCAAAUACGAAUGAAAAUUUUCUUUGUCAGUAAAUUGGCAUUUGGAAA